AUACACAUUGUAGGAUCUUUAAUCCUCUCGAAAGGUACUUGGGUAUGCUUAACAGAGGAUGUAGAGAAAGUCAUUUCUCAUAGGAGAUGGGGAGCAUAGAGAUGAUCCUAGAACCUACAAUGAGGCAAUGUAAGACAUCGACUCCGACAAAGGGAUGUGAAACAGCUUUCUUGAGUAGAGAUCUUUUGAAGAUUUCUGUAUGGAAUAGCCUAUGGAUUUCACUUCUCGUGAUAGGAGAU
rnacentral:lncRNA from 1 species